GACGAACGCUGGCGGCGUGCUUAACACAUGCAAGUCGAACGAAGUGGCGAACGGGUGAGUAACGCGUAAUCAACCUGCCCUUCAGAGGGGGACAACAGUUGGAAACGACUGCUAAUACCGCAUACUGAAGGAGGGGAUUGCGUGUGAUUAGCUAGUUGGAGGGGUAACGGCCCACCAAGGGCAUGAUCAGUAGCCCGUCUGAGAGGGUGAACGGCCACAAUGGUGCUGGGACACGGCCCAGGCUCCUACGGUAGGCAGCAGUGGGGAUUCUUCCGAAAUGGACGAAAGUCUGACGGAGCUACGCCGCGUGAGUGAUGACGGCCUUCGGGUUGUAAAGCUCUGUUAAUCGGGACGCGGUACCGGAAUAGAAAGCCACGGCUAACUACGUGCCAGCAGCCGCGGUAAUUC
rnacentral:rRNA from 1 species